rnacentral:tRNA from 1 species
UAGCUCUGUCAUUUAGAGCGUGGUGCUGAUAACACCAAGGUCAUGGGUUCGAUCCCCGU